GAUUAAGUUAUUAAGGGCGCACGGUGGAUGCCUUGGCACUAGAAGCCGAUGAAGGACGUUACUAACAACGAUAUGCUUUGGGGAGCUGUAAGUAAGCUUUGAUCCAGAGAUUUCCGAAUGGGGAAACCCAGCAUGAGUUAUGUCAUGUUAUCGAUAUGUGAAUACAUAGCAUAUCAGAAGGCACACCCGGAGAACUGAAACAUCUUAGUACCCGGAGGAAGAGAAAGAAAAUUCGAUUCCCUUAGUAGCGGCGAGCGAAACGGGAAGAGCCCAAACCAACAAGCUUGCUUGUUGGGGUUGUAGGACACUCUAUACGGAGUUACAAAGGACGACAUUAGACGAAUCAUCUGGAAAGAUGAAUCAAAGAAGGUAAUAAUCCUGUAGUCGAAAAUGUUGUCUCUCUUGAGUGGAUCCUGAGUACGACGGAGCACGUGAAAUUCCGUCGGAAUCUGGGAGGACCAUCUCCUAAGGCUAAAUACUCUCUAGUGACCGAUAGUGAACCAGUACCGUGAGGGAAAGGUGAAAAGCACCCCGGAAGGGGAGUGAAAUAGAACCUGAAACCGUGUGCUUACAAGUAGUCAGAGCCCGUUAAUGGGUGAUGGCGUGCCUUUUGUAGAAUGAACCGGCGAGUUACGAUUUGAUGCAAGGUUAAGCAGUAAAUGUGGAGCCGUAGCGAAAGCGAGUCUGAAUAGGGCGUUUAGUAUUUGGUCGUAGACCCGAAACCAGGUGAUCUACCCUUGGUCAGGUUGAAGUUCAGGUAACACUGAAUGGAGGACCGAACCGACUUACGUUGAAAAGUGAGCGGAUGAACUGAGGGUAGCGGAGAAAUUCCAAUCGAACCUGGAGAUAGCUGGUUCUCUCCGAAAUAGCUUUAGGGCUAGCCUCAAGUGAUGAUUAUUGGAGGUAGAGCACUGUUUGGACGAGGGGCCCCUCUCGGGUUACCGAAUUCAGACAAACUCCGAAUGCCAAUUAAUUUAACUUGGGAGUCAGAACAUGGGUGAUAAGGUCCGUGUUCGAAAGGGAAACAGCCCAGACCACCAGCUAAGGUCCCAAAAUAUAUGUUAAGUGGAAAAGGAUGUGGCGUUGCCCAGACAACUAGGAUGUUGGCUUAGAAGCAGCCAUCAUUUAAAGAGUGCGUAAUAGCUCACUAGUCGAGUGACACUGCGCCGAAAAUGUACCGGGGCUAAACAUAUUACCGAAGCUGUGGAUUGUCCUUUGGACAAUGGUAGGAGAGCGUUCUAAGGGCGUUGAAGCAUGAUCGUAAGGACAUGUGGAGCGCUUAGAAGUGAGAAUGCCGGUGUGAGUAGCGAAAGACGGGUGAGAAUCCCGUC
rnacentral:rRNA from 1 species